rnacentral:rRNA from 1 species
AUUGAACGCUGGCGGAAUGCUUUACACAUGCAAGUCGAACGGCAGCACGGGGGCAACCCUGGUGGCGAGUGGCGAACGGGUGAGUAAUACAUCGGAACGUGCCCGGUCGUGGGGGAUAACGUAGCGAAAGUUACGCUAAUACCGCAUACGAUCUGAGGAUGAAAGCGAGGGACCUUCGGGCCUCGCGCGAUCGGAGCGGCCGAUGUCAGAUUAGGUAGUUGGUGGGGUAAAGGCCUACCAAGCCGACGAUCUGUAGCUGGUCUGAGAGGACGACCAGCCACACUGGGACUGAGACACGGCCCAGACUCCUACGGGAGGCAGCAGUGGGGAAUUUUGGACAAUGGGCGCAAGCCUGAUCCAGCCAUUCCGCGUGCAGGACGAAGGCCUUCGGGUUGUAAACUGCUUUUGUAUGGAACGAAAAGGCUCUGGCUAAUACCUGGGGCUCAUGACGGUACCGUAAGAAUAAGCACCGGCUAACUACGUG